CGCACCAGAACAACAACUUGUAUACUCUUGUCACUGUCUGCUAAUACUUCUACUAUAUGACACUCACUUCUGCCUCUUCCCUGGUUUGAAGAAAUGAGUUCGUAGUUCUGUUCCUUGUAUAGAGCCCAAAUCUCACCUUUUUUAGGGUAUAUUUCAUAUAUUCUAUUUCCCGUGGGCUCAACUUUUACUUGAUGAGAGAAUGUAGAGGGAGAGAGAAUUAGGAGUUUGGCUUUUUUAGUUUUGAAGGAACCACAGGAUAUUGUUUGCUUCAAACCUUUUGGUGACGAACAGGGUUCAAGUUCAGAUACGUGCAGCCGAAAAUUAGUGGAGGAUUCAAUCUUCUUGAUUUGAACAUAAACAUC
rnacentral:lncRNA from 1 species